rnacentral:rRNA from 1 species
UGGGGAAUAUUGCUCAAUGGGCGCAAGCCUGAUGCAGCCAUGCCGCGUGUAUGAAGAAGGCCUUCGGGUUGUAAAGUACUUUCAGUCGGGAGGAAGGUGUCAAGGUUAAUAACCUUGUCAAUUGACGUUACCGACAGAAGAAGCACCGGCUAACUCCGUGCCAGCAGCCGCGGUAAUACGGAGGGUGCAAGCGUUAAUCGGAAUUACUGGGCGUAAAGCGCACGCAGGCGGUCUGUCAAGUCGGAUGUGAAAUCCCCGGGCUCAACAUGGGAACUGCAUUCGAAACUGGCAGGCUAGAGUCUGGUAGAGGGGGGUAGAAUUCCAGGUGUAGCGGUGAAAUGCGUAGAGAUAUGGAGGAAUACCGGUGGCGAAGGCGGCCCCCUGGACAAAGACUGACGCUCAGGUGCGAAAGCGUGGGGAGCAAACAGG